rnacentral:rRNA from 1 species
UACAGAGGGUGCGAGCGUUAUUCGGAAUUACUGGGCGUAAAGCGUGCGUAGGCGGUUAUUUAAGUCGGGUGUGAAAGCCCCGGGCUCAACCUGGGAAUUGCAUUCGAGACUGAAUAGCUAGGGUACGGUAGAGGGAAGUGGAAUUUCCGGUGUAGCGGUGAAAUGCGUAGAUAUCGGAAGGAACAUCAGUGGCGAAAGCGGCUUCCUGGACCAGUACCGACGUUCAGGCACGAAAGCGUGGGGAGCAAACAGG